UCCAGAUGAUCACUUUGAUGUACACUUGAAGAAAAUCUCCUGGUGUUCGAGAAAACAAAAGUGAUCUUCAUGAGAACCACAGUGAACUCCAACAUUAGAUUGCCUAUUUUGUUCUUGUUUUCCCUGAAGAUAUAGAAUCUGGAGAGGUCGAGAUUCUCCAUUUUCUGAAUCACAGAUCCCAGGGAGGACCCAUAUGAUCAAGAACUUCCUGUGUUCGUUUUUGCCUGUUACCUCUUGUCUAGUUGCUGCACACCCCUGAGAAGAGCCUUGCCUCAUCUGCUUAACUCCUGCACUUCAGGCCAAAUUCCAAAUUGAGCGAUCAUUUUUUGCAAUCGACAUCUACAGCUUUUCAAGGAAAAAAAAGAAAAAAUGUUGGAGACUUCUUGGAGUUCUACUAAGUUCCACAAUUAGUAUGAAUGUUACGUGGAAUGUUCAUAUAAAGGAAGAUCAUAUAGCGUUUUCUGAUUAAAAAUAAUUGCUUAUUUAUCAUUUGACAGAUUGUACUUUCCCUUCCAGCUGUACCCCAUGAAAAAAAAUAAAUGAUCACUAUGACCUCAAAUUCAGUUACCAUCAAAAUUUCUCUGAAAAAUAAAUGAAUAAGAUUAAAAAGUA